rnacentral:rRNA from 1 species
UUAAUUGUAAAUUGAUUAAUAUAGAAGUAUUAGUUAUGUUCUUGAAAUUAAAAAAAUUUGACGGUAUUUUAAUCUUUUUAGGGGAACCUGUUUCAUAAUUGAUAUUCCACGAUUUUAAUUACUUAAAUUUAAAAUUUAUAUAUCGUCGUAGUAAAAUAUUUUAAAAGAAAUUAUUUAAAUCUUUAAUUGUAGUUUAAUUCAGAUCAAGGUGUAGUAAUAUUUAAGAAGAUAAUGGGUUACAAUAAAUUUAUUUAUACGAAUAAUAAAUUUAAAAUUUAUUUGAAGGUGGACUUAAAAGUAAUUGAAUUAAUAUAAUUUUGGUGAUUUUAGUUCUAAAAUAUGU